rnacentral:lncRNA from 1 species
GGGGUGUGGAGGGUGGGGACUCCUUAAGUCCUUCCUGUUUAUUGCCCUGAUUUACCUCCUCUCCAGUUAAGUAUGGUGUGCCUGCUUCAGAGCACACUCAGGAGAUGCUAAUGGAUAAUAAAGAGGGUGUUCCCGCCCCAAUACCUAUACUUGUCAAUAAUUAGCGAUGAUUUCCUAGGUUCUGGGAGGAGGCAAUGGCACCCAGCCUGCCCCAGCUGGUUUAACUCAUCAUUGUAGCAUUAGCAUAGCAAUUCCAAGGUCCCUGAGUGGGGUAUUCCACUCAUACCUGGGGGUUUCCAGGUAUGGUUUCUCCCAAGGGUUAAGGAAAUUUGAGAAGUUACUUCACCAUGUUCCUGAUCCUAGCCAGAGACCGGUCCCUAAACUCAAGCCCUUCCAGCUCCCCUAGUAACCAUGAGACUCCUGUGGUCUUCUGUCCUGGGGAUUCCAGAUGGGACUGUGUAAACAGAAUGCCUGGAGGGCCUCCCUGAGGAAGGCCAAUGGCCUUAAGCCAAAGGACCCAGGAGUGUAAAGGUUGUUUGGGCAAGUGUACAGGCCAAGGUAGGCAAGAAAGGGGAUUCCGGUCCAAGAGAUUGAGCAGGAGUAGAGAUUUCGAUAAAGUUGUUAAUCACUGGCCGUGGGGUUUGACCUGCCCCAGAGAGAGGGAGUGACAAAGGCCCCCAUGCAGGGGUGUGAUGACCAGCUGGCUUUCCAGGAAAAAAAAAAAAGUCCUUGUUAAGAAUCUUCCAAUGUCUGUGGUGUAAAUACUCCCACCAAGUCCAAUUUCAAGCUGCCACUGGUUUAACAACUGACUUAUAGAAUUCUUGAAUAUUGAACAGCCAGCUCUCACUCACUUCCCAUUAGCUCACUGUCCCCACCAGAGGCCGUCAACAACACAAGCCCCCAGGACCCAUCCGCAUGCCUCUCUGAGCCUAGACUCCCACUUCCCUGGCUGUAUUGCAAAAUGUUAUGUACGCACUGGACAGUGCAUGAGCCCAGGCUUGAGACAGGCCAUUUAGCCCUUCAUGCUCCUUGUGCUUCAGUCCUGGGGGAAGGCUGGCUGGUCAGCCUUGCGGCUUACCAUGAUGCUGCUGAGGUGAUGGAUGUGAAAUGACUUUGCCAAAGUGAACAGCAAACCUAGUCAAGUGAAGUGCCACAGCCCAAUGCCCAGGGACUACCUAUUUCUAAUCUGGAGCAGUGGGGAAGUCUGACUCCAUGCCAACCACAAUAUGGUUUGACAAGCCCUAGUUUGGAGCAUCUAGCAGUUUGCCAUCUGACAAGCCACCCUGCCUCUCCCCUCCCUCAGUCACAUGCAGCUGCCUCACACACUCCCACUUCCAGGAGACCAGGUGUGCAGGGUGAUGAACACCAGGUAACCAGGAAGCCACUAGGUCAGUUCCCUGAACCACAGAACAACACAACACCCAUCCCAGGGGUUGGGAAUCUAUCCACAAAAGUCCACUUGUAGAAGGGGCUUCCUGGUAUUGUGGCCAGGCCAUUUCUCUGGGUGCAGGUUUUUCAUUGUGCAAUCUUCUCAGAGACCCACCUGUACUUGACUCCUUCCCAGUGACUCCAUCUCUCCCUCCUCU